ACUCCUACGGGAGGCAGCAGUGGGGAAUAUUGCACAAUGGGCGCAAGCCUGAUGCAGCCAUGCCGCGUGUGUGAAGAAGGCCUUCGGGUUGUAAAGCACUUUCAGUGGGGAGGAAAGGUUGAAUGGUUAAUACCUGUCAGCUGUGACGUUACCCACAGAAGAAGCACCGGCUAACUCCGUGCCAGCAGCCGCGGUAAUACGGAGGGUGCAAGCGUUAAUCGGAAUUACUGGGCGUAAAGCGUGCGCAGGCGGUCUGUUAAGCGAG
rnacentral:rRNA from 1 species